UGGUUGGGCGAGGCGUUUGCCCUUCCGCCUGCUCACGGAAAAGCCCCGCCGUUCCGCCGAUUUGGGCUAGCAGCCCAAUAGCCCGCGAGGAUAGAAAAGAGCUCGCGAUUAUCGUGGAGCUGUCCCUGGAGAGGAAGCCGCAAGCCCUUCCGCAUCCCCCUAGGUGAAUUCAUUCUCCUCCAGUGACUUCAGCUGCCACCAAGUCUCUCCGUCUCCCAGGAAACUUUCUCUCAGGAAGUCGGCAUGACAGUGGAAGGACUAGGCACCGCUGCUAGAAUUCGAUAUUUUACUUCAUGCCUAUUUCAAGAACCACACAUGAAGCUCUAAGAAUUAUCUAGCCUGAGACCACAAGUUGGCACUCUCAUACUUAGUAUCAGAUCAUUAGCUCUGAGAAGCCAGCUUCCAUGUUGUGAACAACUCUAUGGAGAGACUUACGUGGUAAGGAACUGAAUCUUCUUGUCAAAAGCCAUGUGAUGAACUUGGAAGCAGAAUCCUCCAGACAAGGUAAGCCUUCAGAGGACUGCAAAGCUGGCUGACAUCUUGACCUCAACCUCAUGAGAGAUCCUGAGCUAGAACCACCCAGCUAAAUGGCUCAUAUUCCUGAACCUCACUGUAUGAGAUAAUAAAUAAAUGUUUGUUGUCUUAAGCCA